rnacentral:rRNA from 1 species
UACGUAGGGGGCAAGCGUUGUCCGGAUUUAUUGGGCGUAAAGAGCGUGUAGGCGGCUAGGUAGGUCCGUUGUGAAAACUCGAGGCUCAACCUCGAGCUGUCGAUGGAAACCAUCUAGCUAGAGUCCGGAAGAGGAGUGUGGAAUUCCUGGUGUAGCGGUGAAAUGCGCAGAUAUCAGGAGGAACACCAAUGGCGAAGGCAGCACUCUGGGCCUUACCUGACGCUGAGGAGCGAAAGCGUGGGGAGCGAACAGG